rnacentral:rRNA from 1 species
CAGCCGCCACGGGAAUACGGAGGGUGCAAGCGUUAAUCGGAAUUACUGGGCGUAAAGCGCACGCAGGCGGUUUGUUAAGUCAGAUGUGAAAUCCCCGAGCUUAACUUGGGAACUGCAUUUGAAACUGGCAAGCUAGAGUCUUGUAGAGGGGGGUAGAAUUCCAGGUGUAGCGGUGAAAUGCGUAGAGAUCUGGAGGAAUACCGGUGGCGAAGGCGGCCCCCUGGACAAAGACUGACGCUUAGGUGCGAAAGCGUGGGGAGCAAACAGGAUUAGAUACCCCGGUAGUCCCUGUCUCUUAUAC